rnacentral:lncRNA from 1 species
GAAAUGUUGAUGCGUGCUAAAGUUGUAGCACUGAUGAUGCGUCUGACGCUGGUUGGAGGAAAAUGGUGACGAUGAGUGAGAAGCACGGUGGAGCUUUGGAAAAUGGGAAGUGAAAAUGGUGCUUGGAAGGUGGCUAGAGGAGGUCUCUUGGACUCUCUAGCCUAACUUUCAAGAGAGAAUAAUUUCUGAAUUAGAAAAUUCUAUUCUCAUUAAUCUCAAAAGUGAAUAGUACAAAUGAGGAGCUGGGUAUUUAUAG